rnacentral:hammerhead_ribozyme from 17 species
CAAGCGUCUGGGGUAAGGAGUAGUAGUCGCUGCCAUCAGCAGAGCCCCACUGAUGAGUCUAGGCCAGUGACUUCGAGAGACGAAACGCAAA